AUGAGUCCAUUGGCAUUACAAGAACACAGUGUACCCGCUAAAAUUGGUGGCAAAGCGGAAUCACCAACACUCCCUUGAGCAAAGUUCUUAACUGACCUAGAGCCAAACCCGAGAGGUACUGUACCAAAUUGAAUGUCCACCACGGUACUGAACUUGUCCAAAUGUCUCUGAACUGGUUCUGCGCUUCCCUGCAAGAUGUACAAUUGGG
rnacentral:lncRNA from 1 species